GGACUGUUGGUUUAUGGUAUAGCAGAGAGUUUAAUUCUUCAGUUGCAGGUUCAAAUCCUGCACAGCCCGCCA
rnacentral:tRNA from 1 species